AUACGUAGGGUGCGAGCGUUGUCCGGAUUUAUUGAGCGUAAAGGGCUCGUAGGUGGUUGAUCGCGUCGGAAGUGUAAUCUUGGGGCUUAACCCUGAGCGUGCUUUCGAUACGGGUUGACUUGAGGAAGGUAGGGGAGAAUGGAAUUCCUGGUGGAGCGGUGGAAUGCGCAGAUAUCAGGAGGAACACCAGUGGCGAAGGCGGUUCUCUGGGCCUUUCCUGACGCUGAGGAGCGAAAGCGUGGGGAGCGAACAGGCUUAGAUACCCUGGUAGUCCACGCUGUAAACGGUGGGUACUAGGUGUGGGGUCCAUUCCACGUGUUCCGUGCCGUAGCUAACGCUUUAAGUACCCCGCCUGGGGAGUACGGCCGCAAGGCUAAAACUCAAAUGAAUUGACGGGG
rnacentral:rRNA from 1 species